rnacentral:rRNA from 1 species
GACGAACGCUGGCGGCGUGCUUAACACAUGCAAGUCGAACGGAAAGGCCCUGCUUUUGUGGGGUGCUCGAGUGGCGAACGGGUGAGUAACAUGUGAGUAACCUGCCCUUGACUUUGGGAUAACUUCAGGAAACUGGGGCUAAUACCGGAUAGGAGCUCCUGCUGCAUGGUGGGGGUUGGAAAGUUUCGGCGGUUGGGGAUGGACUCGCGGCUUUUCAGCUUGUUGGUGGGGUAGUGGCUUACCAAGGCUUUGACGGGUAGCCGGCCUGAGAGGGUGACCGGCCACAUUGGGACUGAGAUACGGCCCAGACUCCUACGGGAGGCAGCAGUGGGGAAUAUUGCACAAUGGGCGGAAGUCUGAUGCAGCAACGCCGCGUGCGGGAUGACGGCCUUCGGGUUGUAAACCGCUUUCGCCUGUGACGAAGCGUGAGUGACGGUAAUGGGGAAAGAAGCACCGGCUAACUACGU